rnacentral:rRNA from 1 species
AUUGAACGCUGGCGGCAUGCCUUACACAUGCAAGUCGAACGGUAACAGGUCUUCGGAUGCUGACGAGUGGCGAACGGGUGAGUAAUACAUCGGAACGUGCCCGAUCGUGGGGGAUAACGAAGCGAAAGCUUUGCUAAUACCGCAUACGAUCUACGGAUGAAAGCGGGGGAUCUUCGGACCUCGCGCGGACGGAGCGGCCGAUGGCAGAUUAGGUAGUUGGUGGGAUAAAAGCUUACCAAGCCGACGAUCUGUAGCUGGUCUGAGAGGAUGAUCAGCCACACCGGGACUGAGACACGGCCCAGACUCCUACGGGAGGCAGCAGUGGGGAAUUUUGGACAAUGGGCGCAAGCCUGAUCCAGCCAUGCCGCGUGCAGGAUGAAGGCCUUCGGGUUGUAAACUGCUUUUGUACGGAACGAAAAGGUGCCUUCUAAUAAAGGGCGCUCAUGACGGUACCGUAAGAAUAAGCACCGGCUAACUACGUG